CAAAACAUGAGAAAAAGAUUGUGAUAAAAGAAAAAGAAAACGCACCAAAUAUACCUGGCUGAGAACAGCUAGUGUUCCUCCCAAACAAAUCAAAGAAUACUAAAGAGGGGAUUGUUGAUGAUGAUACGCAAGUAAUCCAAAUGGCUUCAUUGUAUUUGUGUCUGAAUUCUUUGUCUUCUUCUUCUUCUUCCUCCUCUCCUUCCCAGCUCCCUCGCAAACUAACAGAAACAUACUCUUCUUCUUAUACUUCCUCCACUAAUGCUAGAAGCACAAGAGGAUCCUUAAAACCCAUCGUUAUUAGCGGAGACCCUCCCACUUUUGUCUCUGCUCCUGGUCGCCGUAUUGUUGCUGUUGGUGAUCUGCACGGAGAUCUUGACCAAGCUAGAUGUGCACUUGAGAUGGCUGGUGUCUUGAGUUCUGAGGGAGAUGAUUUGUGGAUUGGUGGAGAAACAGUGUUGAUUCAGCUUGGAGAUAUACUUGAUCGAGGUGAAGAUGAGAUAGCUAUAUUAUCCUUGUUGCGUUCAUUGGAUAUUCAGGCCAAAGCUCAGGGUGGAGCAGUUUUUCAGAUCAAUGGGAAUCAUGAGACCAUGAAUGUGGAAGGAGAUUUUAGAUAUGUUGAUUCAGGGGCAUUUGAUGAAUGUACUGAUUUCCUUGCACACUUGGAUGGCUUCAAUUAUGACUGGGAAAAAGCUUUUUCUGGUUGGAUUAGGUUGUCUAAAACACGUAAAGAAGAUCGGAAAUUGUCUCAAAAUUAUUGGGGUCCUUGGAAUCUAGUGAAGAGGCAAAAGGGUGUCAUUGCCAGAUCAAUUUUGUUGACACCAGGUGGUCCUUUGGCAUGUGAAUUAGCUCGGCAUUCAGUUAUUCUCAAGGUCAAUGACUGGAUAUUCUGCCAUGGCGGACUUCUUCCUCAGCAUGUUGCAUAUGGCAUAGAGAGGAUGAACAGUAAAGUAUCUCAAUGGAUGAAGGGUCUUAGUGGGGACGAUGCUAGUUCUAACAUUCCAUUCAUGGCAACCAAGGGAUAUGACAGUGUUGUUUGGAAUAGGUUAUACUCUAGAGAUGUAUCAAAUUUGGAGGACCAUCAGACUAAACAGAGACACUGCAAGCAAUAGGGGCUAAAGCAAUGGUGGUGGGGCAUACUCCUCAAACUGCAGGAGUAAACUGUAAAUAUAACUGUAGCGUAUGGUGUGUCGACGUUGGAAUGUCUAGUGGAGUUCUUAACUCAAGACCGGAGGUAAUAUGAAAUUGCACUGGCCUAGAUUUGUUUGAUUUUAACUUGUAAAGGGGACUAAAAGGAAAAGAAGGAAAAUGUCACAUAUUAUAGGAAGAAGUAUAGAAAAAAUGUUAAGGGAAUGUAAGGAAUAUUUCUGUUAUAAAUAACAAACUAUUAGCUGGUACAGCUAUGUAUAGGUAGUAGGUACAGCUGGAGUUAGUUACUACCUGGGAUUUGUAAAUCCCAUUAUAUUCCAUUGUAAAGGCAUUGUGAAUCAGAUAUACAGCACACUAUUGCCUCCAUUAUUUUGACUCUAAUUCUCUCUCAAUCUCUCAUCCUUAAUCUUUUUCUUCUUCUCCCUCUUCGUCUCUCAAUAUGUCUCCAUCCGGUUAGAGAAUCAUCUCUAACAAUUGGUAUCAGACCUCGUGUAUCUUUGGACCAACUGGGUAAUUGUUGUUUGGCAUCGUAAGCAUGACCCGAUCUGCUGUGGUUAGUCAGGAGAUAGUGAGGAUUGCAGAACUGGAAGAGCAAAUCAGAUUUCUGCAACCCAGAAAAAUAGUGAGGAGCUGAAGGACUUUAAAGAGGAAGUAAGGAAGAAUUCUAAAGAUACCAAUGGGAUUCUGGAAGAGUUACGCAGCUUAAUGCUUAGCCAUGUGGUAGAUAAAGGCAAGGAAGUGGGUAAUUCCAACGAAGGGGGAAACAAGGCAGAGAAUAGAAUUUUGGAGUCCAAUUCUAUGAGUUUAAAAGAAAAUCAAGCUAAGGAUAAAGAUAUUUUAGGCACUAUUCCCACCAUUUCUCUUGUUAAUGAGAUAACUCAAAUGCUUUCUAAAAUUGAAUUAGCCACGUUUGAAGAGAAGGAGCCGCGAAUUUGGUUAAGGAAGUAUGUAAAAUAUUUUGAGAUCUAUAAAGUCCCUAAUGAACAGAGAGUGCUGCUGGCCAGUUUGUUUUGAUAGAUAAGGCAGAUGCUUGAUUCUAUAAUUGGAAUAGGGGUAAGAAACAUACUUGGAGGGAAUUUGAGAGGUGAAUUUGUAAUAGAUUUGGGGAUGAUGGGUUAGAAGAUAUAGUUGAAGGGUUUAUGAAAUUGAGGCAGGAUAACACUGUUGAAGGGUAUCAAGAUGUGUUUGAAGACAUGAGAAUUAGGCUUGAGAGACUAAUGCCAGAAUUGGGAGAGUCUUAUUUCUUUCUACAUUUAUUAGGGGAUUAAGGGAUGAGAUUAGGUUGAUAGUUAAGAUGAUGAAACCAGUUUCUGUCUCAAGCAAUUGAGGUAGCAAAAUUACAAGAAUAAUUAUUAGCCAAACACCAAACAAAAGGAGGGAGCAAUAGUACCUUCAAAUCUUUUAAAAACACCCUUCCAAACACUACCACCACCAACCAAAUAAGCCAAACAAACGCUUACACUAAGCCAUAUCAGUCAUACCCAUAUCCACCUAGACCACCAAACACUGACUAGAAACCCAAUUCAAUUGCUACUAAAGGCAGUAAUCCUCCCUCUGCUUCUAAUUCCAACACUAUAGCCACUAUUGCUUCCAAAGUCUCCAAUCCCCAGUUCAGAAAUCAACCUAAAUCUUGCUAUAGAUGUGGGGAUAAAUAUUUCCCUAGUCAUUAAUGUAAACCCAAGACCCUACAUGCUAUAUGUACAGAAGAGGAAGGAAGGAGAAAUGGUGGAAGAUGAAUGGUAUGAAGUCAAAGGGGAUGAAUUGGAAGAGGAGGAAGCAGAAGCAACUCUAUCUGUGCAUACUCUUGAGGGAAGCUAUGGAGUAGAUACAAUUAGAAUUUUCGGUGUUCAUAAAAACAGACAACUAGUAAUUUUGAUUGAUAGUGGUAGUACAACUAGCUUCAUUGACAAAUGGGUAGCUCAGGAAAUGAGACUAGAAUUGGUGGCUAUAUCUCCCACCACUGUAGUAGUGGCUGAUGGCAGGAAGAUGUGUUGUGGUCACAAAUGUCUAGGAUGGAAGUGGAAGAUGCAAGGGUAUGAAUUUCAAUUUGAAGUAAGAAUGUUAGAGUUAGGGGGUUUGAUAUGAUUUUAGGUGCUGAUUGGCUCAAAACCUACAAUAUAGUGCUAUUUGAUUUUGAAAUUUCAUCUAUUACUAUUAUGAGGCAGUAUAAACCUUUACGGUUGCUAGGGAUUGGAGAAGCAUCACUUUAAUCUGGGUUAUGGUACUUUGAGGAUUUAUUGCGGGGGAAAGGAGUAGAUCUUCAUGCUCCUAUCUUUGGUAUUUGGCAGGUGGAGUUGACUGAUAGUUAUGCAGAACAAGAAGUAGUUACUAUUGCUUCUCUCAAUGAUGAAGGAGGUUUGCAAAAGUUAUUAAAGAAGUACCAGAUUGUUUUUGCAGAACCUCAAGGCUUACCGCCUUAUAGAAGUUACAACCAUACCAUUCCUCUUGUACAGAAUGCCCAACCAAUAAAUACCAAAAGACUGAGAUUAAAAGGUUGGUAGCUAAUAUGUUGGACACUGCUAUCAUCCAACCUAGUAGUAGCCCAUAUUCCUCUCCUGUUUUGUUAGUUAAAAAGAAAGAUGAGACUUGUAAAUUUUGUGUGGAUUAUAGAAAGUUAAAUGCGUUGACUAUUAAGGAUAAAUUUCGUGUACCUAUCAUAGAUGAUCUCCUGGAUGAAUUGAAGGGAGCCGAGAUGUUUUCUAAGAUCGAUCUAAGUGACUGGGAAUCCUACGGAUGAAGUCCAAAAACUCUGACAAGAUGAAAUAGCUCUAAGGAUCAACAAUAAAAUUUCCCUCUAUGGUACUCCAUGCAAAGGACAUCAAGAACACCAAUAAAUAGUAUUAGAGAAACAACAUAAACGCCAUAAACGAAUUGAUAAGUUUACCUUGAUUCUUGAUGCAGUUGGAAAAAUGCAAUCUCAUGUACUCUCACAAUAACAAAGGCACACAAAUAGUAUGAAUAAUUUUGAAUUUUAAUUAAAGAAGUUCUUUUAUGCAAAGGAUGGCUUGAGUUUAUAUAGAAAAAACUAAACCUAACUCUAAGAGAAUAAGGAUAAACCAAAUCCUAAAGUGCCCAAAUAAGACUGGUCGAAUUUAAUAGCCACAUAGCAAGGGGCGGCACACUAAAAUCUAAAAACUAGACUCAAUAAACUAAACUAGUAAUAUUAAAACAAAUAAGAUAGCAUAAACUUAAUCCAAAUAAAUGGACUUACAAAAUAUAUCAUUAAGAUCCAAAUGACAUAACACAUAAGAAUUCUAGACUAGGACAUUCCUAAAACUGCCUUUAAAACACAUCACGGUCACUUUGAGUUUAGGGUCAUGCUCUUUGGAUUGACUAAUGCCCCUGCUACAUUCCAGACCUUAAUGAAUCACAUUUUCCAACCUUUCCUCAGAAAAUUUGUGUUAGUAUUUUUAUAUGAUAUUCUGGUCUAUAGCAAAAUAUGGGGAGCAUUUAAAGCAUUUAGAGGAAGUAUUUCAAAUCUUGGCAUAUCAGCAAUCAUUUGCUAAGUUUCCCAAGUGUUUUUUUGGUCAGCAACAAAUUGAAUACUUGGGUCAUAUCAUUUCUGCACCAGGAAUAGCUACUGACCCAAAUAAGGUUGAAGCAAUGGUGAAUUUGGCCAAUCCCUUACACUAUUAAAGACCUCAGGAGUUUUUUAGGUCUCAUUGGCUAUUAUAUAAAGUUUAUCAGCAAUUAUGGUGUUAUUUGUAGAUCAUUAACCCUUCACACUAUUACAGAAAAUUAUGUUGCACCUAGAAAUCUUCUUUCCACAUAAAAAGUGCUUGAUUCAGUUCCUAUGAAUUGUUUAUUACACUACAUUAAUUCUAAAGUUAUUUGAGAGCUGAUAAACAAGUUGGCUCUUCUGUUAUGAUGGUGGCUCACUCUACAACAAUAUGUAAUACAGAAAUUUCUGCUCCCUUUCAAAAGCAACUUCAUGUAAUUGUUUUUAAAACUGAUGGGGUUAUUCAUUACAAUAUCCAAUUACUAUUCAAGUCUAGUGGUUCCAUGAAGCUUUUACCGAGUUGAUGCUUGGUGACAAUGAACUCAAGAAGUGAUGCAUUUUAUCAAUUUGACAUGUAUUCUUCAGGUGCUAGAAAUAAGAGAUGACAAAGUAAGAGUAAUAAGGAGCAGAAGGGAUACGUUUCGCGAACUUGAGAUUGCUGAGUAUACAUAAAAAAAAUAAACAGAUGAAUUAGCUUUGUAUUGAGUUCCUUCUUUUUGUUAGGAUUCUUUUAGCAUGCUGUAUAAAGUUUACUAAUAUGGGGAAUUAGAGGUGAAUGUGGCCUCAGCCUCUCUCCACCUAUGCUGUAUAAAGUCACUACUGCAGGUCUCAUUGGUUGGCCUUUGCGAAGUGUAUCAAUUACAUUUUAGACACAACAAUUAGUGGUUUGAACAGCAAAGAAAAGAAAAGCUUCUUUAUUUAUUA